UACAGAGGUCUCAAGCGUUGUUCGGAUUCAUUGGGCGUAAAGGGUGUGUAGGUGGCGCGCUAAGUCGGGUGUGAAAUUUCGAGGCUUAACCUCGAAACUGCAUUCGAUACUGUCGGGCUCGAGUGCGGAAGGAGGCGAGUGGAAUUCCUGGUGUAGCGGUGAAAUGCGCAGAUAUCAGGAGGAACACCGGUGGCGAAGGCGGUCUCUGGGCCGAUACUGACGCUGAGGAGCGAAAGCGUGGGGAGCGAACAGG
rnacentral:rRNA from 1 species